rnacentral:rRNA from 1 species
GAUGAACGCUGGCGGCAUGCUUAACACAUGCAAGUCUACUUGAAUUUGGGUUUUUUAACUUAGAUUUGGGUGGCGGACGGGUGAGUAACGCGUAAAGAACUUGCCUCACAGCUAGGGACAACAUUUGGAAACGAAUGCUAAUACCUGAUAUUAUGAUUAUAAGGCAUCUUAGAAUUAUGAAAGCUAUAUGCGCUGUGAGAGAGCUUUGCGUCCCAUUAGCUAGUUGGAGAGGUAACGGCUCACCAAGGCGAUGAUGGGUAGCCGGCCUGAGAGGGUGAACGGCCACAAGGGGACUGAGACACGGCCCUUACUCCUACGGGAGGCAGCAGUGGGGAAUAUUGGACAAUGGACCAAGAGUCUGAUCCAGAAAUUCUGUGUGCACGAUGACGUUUUUCGGAAUGUAAAGUGCUUUCAGUUGGGAAGAAAAAAAUGACGGUACCAACAGAAGAAGUGACGGCUAAAUACGUG